rnacentral:pre_miRNA from 1 species
UGAUUGUCCAAACGCAAUUCUUGUGGUUAGUCUAGUCAAGGACUGUGUGUGGACAUCAAU